AUUGAACGCUGGCGGAAUGCUUUACACAUGCAAGUCGAACGGUAGAGGGGGCAACCCCUCGAGAGUGGCGAACGGGGGAGUAAUAUAUCGGAACGUGCCCAGUUGCGGGGGAUAACGUAGCGAAAGUUACGCUAAUACCGCAUACGAUCUCAGGAUGAAAGCGGGGGAUCGCAAGACCUCGCGCGAUUGGAGGGGCCGAGAUCAGAUUAGGGAGUUGGUGGGGUAAAGGCUCACCAAGCCAACGAUCUGUAGCUGGUCUGAGGGGACGACCAGCCACACUGGAACUGAGACACGGUCCAGACUCCUACGGGAGGCAGCAGUGGGGAAUUUUGGACAAUGGACGCAAGUCUGAUCCAGCCGUUCCGCGUGCAGGAUGAAGGCCCUCGGGUUGUAAACUGCUUUUGUACGGAACGAAAAGGUCUCUCUUAAUACGGGGGACUCAUGACGGUACCGUAAGAAUAAGCACCGGCUAACUACGUGCCAGCCGCCGCCGUAAUAC
rnacentral:rRNA from 1 species